rnacentral:rRNA from 1 species
GACGAACCACACGAACGUUAUUCGGAAUUACUGGGCUUAAAGGGUGCGUAGGCUGUGCGGAAAGUUAGGUGUGAAAUCCCCCGGCUCAACCGGGGAAUAGCGCUUAAAACUACCGUGCUGGAGGAAGACAGAGGUGAGCGGAACUUCGGGUGGAGCGGUGAAAUGCGUUGAUAUCCGAAGGAACACCGGUGGCGAAAGCGGCUCACUGGGUCUUUUCUGACGCUGAUGCACGAAAGCUAGGGGAGCAAACGGG